rnacentral:lncRNA from 1 species
GUGACUUUUCUGGGUUCAGUUUCCCUUUUAGAGAUUUGGGGAUUCCUUUGCACAGCUUUCAUGCAAUUAGUCAAAGCUGUCAUUAGAUUAUUGACAUUGCAUUGAGAUAGUGAGAGAGACUGUGACAGUGCAAGUGACCACACGUACCCACUUUUUUUCCUAAUGAGAGGUGGAAAAAUAAGUGUUUGCAAAGAUGAAAAUAUUUCCAUUUUGUACACCUUUGCCUUUUACCACAAAUUGAGGUGGUCAUAAUCAUUUAAAAACAAGUAGAGUAAUAUUUUCUUUACUGCAUUCUUUUCAGAGAUUUUCAGUAGUGGAUUCAAUUAUUUACUUCCUAAUAAUGUAUUAGUUGUAUAAGAUUCUACUAGAUUCUGAAAGUCGAAAGCUUGAUUCCUGUGGAUAAUAUUUGUUGGAAUGGGCAAUCACGAAUCUCGAAAGAGGUGAGUUCUUUAUUCAAAAAGUGCAAACAUAUUUACCAUUAGGAGAGUAAAACGGUGGCCUAUUUGAAUAGGACAGCCACGUUGUCUCGCUUGCAUGUCUAUAUAUUAUAUACCUUCCAAAUCUUUGUUUGCACUGUGAAUAUAUUUUGUUAAAAACAAAAAAAAAGUGCUAUUGGUUCAAAUUUCACUCGACUUAACAUUCACAGAUUCACUGCAAUCCCGGAUUUUAAUGGUGCUGAUUACUUUGAUGAUUGAUUGUAAUCACAAAGAGUAAAGUUAAUAAUUGGUAUUGGCAUUAUGGGCUAGUCACAUUUGUUUUGUACUGAAUUUUAAACCCUUCGAUGGCUACCCUUUUCAUUCUCCUAUGCAUUUUAGUGCUGUAGUUAAUUAAUGAUGUAAGUUUGAAAUGUUAAUGUUAAAGUUUAGAGGAUGGAGUAUCUCGUGGUGUAAGGAGAUAACUUCUCUCCUUACACCAAUUAGGCAAUGACACAUCAUUACAUUUCAACUUUUUUAAAAUGAAUAAAAAAAUAAAAAGUAAAAUAUCAUAAGUGUUAAAUAAUGAUUGGGUGUGAGGAGAUAAUUUCUCUCCUCACACCAGGACAUACAUUAUUCCCUAAAGUUUAAUAUGAGUCAUAAAAGAGACUUCUUGAUGAAUCAAGAAGCAUAUGAAAUAAAGCUUAAAAAAAUUUAAAGAAAGAGAAAUGUGAAUUAAGAGUGUCAAAACUGAAUAACACUUUUCAUUAUUGAAUUGAUUUCUCGUUAUUGAAUUGAAUACAAAGAUUAGGAGAAAUUAUAUACAUCAACUACUAAAACAUAAAACAGAAAUUGUUAACCAGAUAAUCGAUUAACCAUGUUAUUUAAUCAAUUAUUGCAUACAAAGUUCAAUUUAACAAAAUGAACUAAUUAACUAACUAGUUAAUCGAUUAACUAUAGUGUUAAUCGAUUAUCUCAUACAGAAUCAUCCUCAUUCUAAUAGUUAAAGUAUAUAUUUGAUAUUGGCACAGUUUUGAUGAAGACAACAAGAUUACCAAAAUGAAGCAAAAUGAAGAAUAUCUUGAAGACACAAAAGAUCAAGGUUCGAGAACAAUAAUUGUUAUAAGUCUUCUUAGGUACUUCUUUCAUUAAACUCUUACAUAUUAAGUAACAAUGCUCAUAAGUGGAAAAACAAUUGAAAAAGUCUUGGUCAAAAAAUUAAAUUUUCAAAAUACUAAUUGACAGGUUACUUGACCUGAGCAUGUUACUGGAACUAAGUAACGGGGUUACUGGAACUAAGUAACGGGGUUACUGGGCCUUACCACCGCAAGCGGAGAGACAGUCAGACAGGCAGAGUCUAAGAGAAGGGUACAAGAGAAGGUUUGCCAAAAGUUUUAUGAGACAUCCCCAAAAUUUUAAAAUAUCCUUGCUAACUUCCAAUACAGAUAAGAAAAUAUGUACCGAGGGCUCUCAAACAGUAUACAAACACUCUAAUUGAAGUAAAAAAUCAACGACUUAUAUAACAAGAUGUCAUGAGAUAGGGUGAUCCAUUCAUUCCCAACAAAAACAGAUCGAGCAUCUGCCUCCUCCUUGUUUCCUUGAGAAGCAGCAGCAGGAUCUACAAAGGUGAUUCAAUCAAGUUUAAAAGUGAAUCAUAAUAACAUAAAAUAACCAUAAGCAUCUUUCAGUUUAAAUAGUAGUAAAGUGAUUUCGUAAAUGAGUACACUCUACAAAUAAUAACACACUUCAACAUCAUGUUUUUCCAAAACUCCAACAUCAUGUCUAUAUUGAUAUUUUUUUUACUUUUGCAUUGCAGGUUCCAUCAAUAUAGUCUAAAGUAAGCAACUAAUUUUUUGUAUUGGAAAUUGGAAUGAGGUUUCAGGCUCAUGAUGCACUUUAUCAUUUUCUUAUUCCAUUAUUUCUAUGAGACCAUUAGAUAAAAUUAUUGUGUUAUCCAUCAUAGUGGAUAUGCAUGGACUAGUAUGCUGACUUGACAACUCUAAGGUAUUUUAUAGAGAUGAUAAAACGGGAUGCACAAUCUGUUUUGUCCAUGCCCACAAAAUUUAAGUGAGUGUAGACAUGUUCUUAAAUUUUUAAUGGACAAAAUUACAUGUCUCGUCUAUUUUAAAACAAGCAAACAUUUUACUAUUUACACUAAAAAAUAGACGUGUGAAAUGACAAUAAGCAAUUUGAUUUAUUUGCAAUAAAAAGAAAUUUGUUAUACUAAGCAUUUCAACAACAUCAUGUAAUCACUAAUCACAAAGUGAACAUGCAAUUAACACAGGGCAAGAAUGAAGAAAAAAAGAACAUGUUACAGAUACAACAUCAUAAUAUAAUCACUCACAAGUCACAACACUAUACACGAAUGAAAUAUAGAUUCCAAUAAUUUGUCACAAUAUGAAAAGGAAACCACAGAUUAAUGUGUAGAGAAUUAAAUUGGGGAAAAUUGAUUCAGGGAAAAAUUAAAUUGGGGAAAUUGAAUUAGGGAAAAUAGAAUUGGGGGGAAAUCAAACCUUGAUCUAGUUGUCGUGAUGGUUAUGACCGUUUUCUUCAUCAUAUAGGAGACCAUAGUCGCCAUCAUCGUGGUUAGUUGGCAGUUUGUCCUCGUUGCGACUGUGAGGUCUGGUUGUCAUGAUGGCCUGAUGAUGAAGGAGAAGAUGAAGGAAGAAGAAAUGGAAGAAUGGGUGAAGAACAAUGAGUAUCGGAGAAUGAGUAUUUGAACUUUAAAGGAAGAAUGGAAGAAUAAAUAGUGUGAGGUGCGUGAAUCUGGUGACUACCCAUGGAAGAAGAAACAAUGAGAAUGGAAGAAGAAACUGAGAAUGUGUGUGAUUGAC